UAGGUGAGGUAAGUAGCUGCUGUUAUACUCCCAAGAGUAUAGCAGAGGAAAGUCCGGACUCCAAGGAAAAAUAGUGACGGGUAAUACCCGCCGUAGAGAACUACAGUUAUAGGGCUACAGAAAAUAACCGCCUCUAUUGUAUAGAGGUAAGGUUGAAAAGGUGCGGUAAGAGCGCACCAUAAUAAUGGCAACAUUAUUAGUUGAGUAACCAGCACUAGGAGCAAGAUUAAAUAAGAGUAGGUUGUAUAUUUUCCUUAUAUCUACUCGGGUAAAUCGCAUGAAGCAAAUGGUAAGAUUUGCUCUAGAUAAAUAGCUACAUAAACAGAAUGCGGCUUAUACCUCACCUAGAGA
rnacentral:RNase_P_RNA from 1 species